AAGAAGAACAGGUGCUCUGAACGCCGUGUUCAUUUUGUGCAGUACAUUUACAUCCAUUUAGAGCGUUUUAAGUUAGAUGAAACGCUGUAGGUUUUAGGCGUAAAUUAUAGGGCUGGGAAGCACUUGAACGUUGGUUCCGACGCUUGGACUGAACCACGAGUGUCGGCCAUCAUCUUUCCUACCCAGGUGAGUUUCAUCAGGAUAUGCUUGAGGGAAAGGAAGUGGGUGUCGCCGUCUGAGGAAUUCUCUUGUGCCAUUCUUAUCUUAAAUCUAGUUUUGAACGGAUUUCGAAGUAUAAGGUGCUUUUUAGGAGCUAUGUUUUAGAAACCGUGAAAAAACAAACGUAAUUCACAAGUCAAAAAUAAAAAUUUACCUGGAUGAAGUUUAUAAUAUACACAAUAAAGGCGAUAUAAUACAAGUAAGAGUGGUGCUCAACCCGUGGUAGUGUGCAUAUAUAGCUUGGAAUCCCCUCUCCACCAGUUCAAAAUGUCCAACUUGUAUAUCCAAUUCUGUGAAUCUCCCCCACGUAGUCCACAGUCAAGUAUGUAUUCGCCUCUUGAGCGAAUGACCCUGAAGAGCUAGAGGAACUUUCACUUGCAGUCUUCGUUUUAUGUACCAAACUCCAUCCGCCUGACCAAAGUGCACUGGAUGAGGACGACAACACGGGUUGUGGGGCGGAGGCUCUCGUACAAAAUCGGGUGGUGUUCGCAUCAUACAUAGAGUACAUUAAUCUCUUCCCCAUGACCGUGAUCUUUAUCCCAUUUGGACCGCCUUUCUUACCCCCAAAUUUUCGUAUUAUAGAAGAAGCACAGUUGUGAGCCCUUCCACUUGCUGUCCCGGGUCCAGUACAGCAGACAAAAGAAAGGUAGAAUGUCCAUGUAAUAUUUAAGGAAUCUGUCCUUCACGGCAUCCACAACAGGUUUUAAAAUAAAAGCAUCACCCUCUUUCUUGGGUAAUCGAUCCGAUAUCAUGAGCAGAAUGAAAAGAGAAAGGGGAGUAGAUGAUUGAUGACAUAUGAAUAACGUCUUCCUGUAUCAUUAAAAGGUUUGAAUAAAUCCCUAAAGCUUCCAGCAACCAUGUCUGUAUUAAAACGGGUGUAGUUGCACUUUCGUAAUGAAAAGUAGAAAACAAGGUGAGAUAUGCCAUAUCAUGCAUAUCCUAUCUAACAUUAGAUAAGUUAAUUUCACCUAGCGCUCGCGACUAACGGAUAUGAACAGGUUUCUCUCUACAUUGCAUGAAAAAGUGCUUCGACUCAUGCCCUCUAAAGGGCGAUUACCUAAUACGUGCAAUCGAAUCGUCUAUACUAGUUACUUUAUCCGAAAAAAGAAACAGUAAGCCCAUGUUUCAUUCACGAACAGAUUAACUAUGCAGGGUACCUGAAAAAGUCACCAUUGCAAGUAGGUAUAAGUUGUGGUAUCAGAUUCCUAACCUUGGAGUUGUUAACACUAGCAUUAGCCAAGGUAAUGGAGAAAGCUUUAUCCGCAGUACCAGACAGUGGAACAAUCUUACGAUUUCUACAACAAUAUCUUCACCAAUAUAAGGAAAUUCUAGCACUUUAAAAGUCGGAGCCCUCUUUUCCAAGACCUAAUUCGGACCGAUGCAAUGGCUUGUGGCACGACAAGUUGUUAACCUGCUAGUGCCAGUCCACAAAUCGGAAGUCGAGGAAAUUCGAAAAUCACCUGUGAAAAAUAAUGUACCAAGGCGAUUUCUUUCGUUUGUACCACCUCCUCAUGUGACUUGGCGAAUCCCAAAUGUUCCGCGAAACUAAAAGGUUGCUCGGCGGCAAGAAUUUGGUGUGCUAA